GACGAACGCUGGCGGCGUGCUUAACACAUGCAAGUCGAACGGGCCCGCCCCUGUUUUUGGGGGUGGGUUGAGUGGCGAACGGGUGAGUAUCACGUGAGUAACCUGCCCCCUGCUCCUGGAUAACUGCUUGAAAGGGCGGCUAAUACGGGGUGUGCCGGCUGGUCCGCAUGGGCCUGGUCGGGAUAGUUUCAUCUUCGGGUGUUUCGGUGGGGGAUGGGCUCGCGGCCUAUCAGCUUGUUGGUGGGGUGAUGGCCCACCAAGGCGGUGACGGGUAGCCGGCCUGAGAGGGUGGGCGGCCACACUGGGACUGAGACACGGCCCAGACUCCUGCGGGAGGCAGCAGUGGGGGGUAUUGCACAAUGGGCGGAUGCCUGAUGCAGCGACGUCGCGUGAGGGAUGGAGGCCUUCGGGUUGUGAACCUCUUUCUCCGGUGGUGAAGGCCCUGUCCGUUGCGGCGGGGUUGACGGUAGCCGGGUAUGAAGCGCCGGCUAACUACGUG
rnacentral:rRNA from 1 species